AUUGAACGCUGGCGGCAGGCCUAACACAUGCAAGUCGAGCGAGCCGCGGACGGGUGAGACAUGUCUGGGAAACUCCCUGAUGGAGGGGGAUAAUUACUGGAACCGGUACCUAAUACCGACUACCGUCAGAUGUUCCCAGAUUGGAUUAGCUAGUAGGUGGGGUAAUGGCUCACCUCGGCGACGAUGCAUAGCUGGUCUGAGAGGAUGACCAGCCACACUGGAACGGAGACACGGUCCAGACUCCUACGGGAGGCAGCAGUGGGGAAUAUUGCACAAGGGGCGCAAGCCUGAUGCAGCCAAGCCGCGUGUGUGAAGAAGGCCUUCGGGUUGUAAAGCACUUUCAGUGGGGAAGCGGUACUCGCAGAAGAAGCACCGGCUAACUCCGUGCCAGCAGCCGCGGUAAUUC
rnacentral:rRNA from 1 species